rnacentral:rRNA from 1 species
AGUGAACGCUGGCGGCGUGCCUAACACAUGCAAGUCGAAGGAAGUGGCGCACGGGUGAGUAAUAUAUAGCUAAUCUGCCCCUUGCUGGAGGACAACAGUUAGAAAUGACUGCUAAUACUCCAUAGGAAGGGAUGAGACUAUAUCGUAUCAGAUAGUCGGUGGGGUAACGUCCUACCGAGGCGAUGAAGCGUAACUUGUCUGAGAGGAUGAUCAGUCACAUUGGAAAUGAGACACGGUCCAAACUCCUACGGGAGGCAGCAGUAGGGAAUAUUACGCAAUGGGCGAAAGCCUGACGCAGCAACGCCGCGUGGAGGAUGACACUUGUCGGAUCGUAAACUCCUUUUGUUAGGGAAGCGGUACCUAACGAUUAAGCACCGGCUAACUCCGUGCCAGCAGCCGCGGUAAUAC